rnacentral:rRNA from 1 species
UGAGGAAUCUGUCCAUCGGCGGGGGAUAGCCGGCCCAACGGCCGGGUAAUACCGCGUACGUCGGCGGGAGCGCAUGCUCCUGCCGGGAAAGCAGCAAUGCACCGAUGGAGGAUCUCGCGGCCUAUCAGCUUGUUGGUGAGGUCACGGCUCACCAAGGCGACGACGGGUAGCUGGUCUGAGAGGAUGAUCAGCCACAUUGGGACUGAGACACGCAGA